AAGUUGGGCAUGCGCAGUACGGAACACAGACGGCUCACUGGAGGGAACGUUACAGCCGAGCACAAGCUAACGUUAGCUAGCUAUCUUGCUAGCUAACGUUAGCUAACGUUAUUUAACUUGCUAGCUAAAACUGCUAACAGCAUGGACGAACUUGAUGACGUCACGGUGUCGACUUUAAGAGGAAACUGUAGACUCAAAAUCAACGAGCAGUUCUACUUCUAUGAUUGGGUCACCCCUAUCUCAGACAUCCACUCAAGUAAAAAGAUGUCCCGCAAAGCACACAACACCUGAAAAUGUUGUGAAGUUAUCCUUCCCCGAAUAUGUAUUGCACACUGACACCAAACUAGAGCAAUGCCGAAAACAAUAUUUUGAGUUGGCGAAGGCCGGCGAAGAGAGAAACUGCCAAAUGUCAAAGGACCUCAGAUGUCGGCUCAUCCGAAACACCAUGACCAGUAUGAUCGCAAUCCUGAGGGCAACGGGGGACAGAGACAGAUACCCGUCAAAGCCAGAAAUAACAGCUAUGGCAAAGCGAACAGUGCUGUACUACCCCAUGCUGCAGGGCCGAGACCUGAGCAGCAAGUUACUGUGUACUCACAGCUAUACAAAAGAUUGAAAAAUUUGAGAUCACCCCAAAAGACCAAUCCAAAGAGGCGCCGACUCGAGGAGCUAAAGUGCCAACCUGACUGACCCAGAUGAAUUUGAUUCAAGUGACUCAACAGUCAUUCUGGAUCUCCCCUCAAAAGGGGGUAGCAUUCAAGCAUUCAAGACUUCCCUUCUGAAGGGAGUAGCACCCCAGACUCGGGCAACAAUGCCAGAUAUGCCCGCAUCUUUGCGUAAGAAGAAAACUCCAAACCGUGAGUCCGUCUCUCAGCUCCUGGGUUUGGAAUUUUCAGCCAGAAGAGCAUUCAUUGAUUCUUUUUGCGAGGAGGACAGACACAAGAAAAUUCCAGAGGACAUUGGACAUGUGAUGGAGGAGCUUCAACGCAUUCUGGACAAAAAUAACAUCCAUUACAUUGAUGAGCUGAAGGGAAGAUGGGACGACUUCUGCCAGAAGGUGCAGUUUUUUGGUGUGUGGAAAAAGCUGCUGAAACCCUCAGUAGGAAUGGACAAAGGCUCUCAGUAUCCUACGUGUGCUGCCUUCAUUGUCCCCCUCUUCAUCUGCUCCUCUGAAGAAGUUAGGACAUGUGAGUGAGGCUCUUGUGCAUGUCCUCAAGGAAAAAGAAGACCCCAAUGACUAUUUGAAGAAACGUCGUCUCUCCUGCCCAGUCCUUAUUGUGAGUUUGUCCAACUGCCUCCUGGCUGUAGGAGAUGUGCUGAUAACUACGCUCCCAAAAGACAAGGUAACACAGGGUGUUUUAUACCUUACGGCCUACUAUUAUGCUCUACACCUUACUUACCCCAGGUGCGUAGCCACUCUGCUCUCUGUCAUAAAAACGGAGGUUCUCUUGGACACAAUCCAUGAGCGAGACCUCACACCAUCUUUCAAGAAGGGCAUGGCUGACUGGAAAGCUUUUGUUGGCAAGUAAAGCCGUUUCCAUUCUUAUUUAGCAAAUGUUUCCCAAUGUUAAGGUCGCAAUAAUAACAAUGUUGUUGAUCUAUUGAGGGACACAGUGGUCAAAUAUUUAUGUUAAUGUUAGCCCAAGACCCAUAACUUGUUGCAAUAAUAAGCACAUUGUAAGUGUAUUGAGGAGACAGAGGUCAGAUGAUUAUGUCUGACUGUAAUCCAUGUGUUACACAUAUAUGUCAUGUUUUGCUAUGUUUUUUUACUAUUAUUAGUAUUUUAUUACAGUGCCAUACACACUGCGCCAAAACAUGACUGGUGCUGCAGGCACAGUGUAACUGACUGACUGCACUGUAUUGUAAGAAUUGUUUGCUCCCUCCUGCAUUUCAGAGCUAAAGAGGCAUGCUCUUUCUUAUGCAAAUAAAAUAUUUGUUUGUUUAAUGCACAA
ensembl:lncRNA